rnacentral:rRNA from 1 species
UACGUAGGGGGCUAGCGUUGUCCGGAAUCAUUGGGCGUAAAGAGCGUGUAGGCGGCCCGGUAAGUCCGCUGUGAAAGUCGGGGGCUCAACCCUCGAAUGCCGGUGGAUACUGUCGGGCUAGAGUGCGGAAGAGGCGAGUGGAAUUCCUGGGUGUAGCGGUGAAAUGACGCAGAUAUCAGGAGGAACACCAAUUGCGAAGGCAGCUCGCUGGGACGUUACUGACGCUGAGACGCGAAAGCGUGGGGAGCAAACAGG